GCCCAGGUGGUGGAAUUGGUAUACACACAAGCUUGAGGAGCUUGGGUCCUUUGGACCGUGCGGGUUCAAGUCCCGCCCUGGGCA
rnacentral:tRNA from 2 species